rfam:Oryza meridionalis cultivar OR44 (W2112) chromosome 1, whole genome shotgun sequence.
AAUAAGCGCAACCAUGAGUUUCCGUGUCUAAAUUUAAUUGUCCGUCUUAUUUAAAUUUUUAUAUAAUUAGUAUUUUAUUUGUUAUUAUAUUAUAAAAUAUGAAUGGUACUUUAUGCGUGACUUAUUUUUCUUAGUUUUUUUUAAAAAAAAUUCAAAUAAGACGAACGAUUAAAGUUUUUUUAGAUAAUGAACGAUUAAAGUUGGACACGGAAAUUUAUAGCUGCACUUAUU